rnacentral:rRNA from 1 species
GAUCAUGGCUCAUGAUGAACGCUAGCUACAGGCUUAACACAUGCAAGUCGAGGGGAAACGAUAGAGAAAGCUUGCUUUUUCUAGGCGUCGACCGGCGCACGGGUGAGUAACGCGUAUCCAACCUGCCCACCACUUCGGGAUAACCUUGCGAAAGUAAGACUAAUACCUAAUGAUAUCUCUAGAAGACAUCUGAAAGGGAUUAAAGAUUUAUCGGUGAUGGAUGGGGAUGCGUCUGAUUAG